UACGUAGGGUGCGAGCGUUGUCCGGAAUCAUUGGGCGUAAAGAGCGCGUAGGCGGUCCGGUAAGUCCGCUCUGAAAGUCCGGGGCUCAACCCCGGGAGGCGGGCGGAUACUGUCGGGCUAGAGUCCGGAAGAGGCGAGUGGAAUUCCUGGUGUAGCGGUGAAAUGCGCAGAUAUCAGGAGGAACACCAAUGGCGAAGGCAGCUCGCUGGGACGGUACUGACGCUGAGGCACGAAAGCGUGGGGAGUCAAACAGG
rnacentral:rRNA from 1 species